AGAGUUUGAUCAUGGCUCAGAUUGAACGCUGGCGGCAGGCCUAACACAUGCAAGUCGAGCGGUAGCACAGAGAGCUUGCUCUCGGGUGACGAGCGGCGGACGGGUGAGUAAUGUCUGGGAAACUGCCUGAUGGAGGGGGAUAACUACUGGAAACGGUAGCUAAUACCGCAUAAUGUCGCAAGACCAAAGUGGGGGACCUUCGGGCCUCAUGCCAUCAGAUGUGCCCAGAUGGGAUUAGCUAGUAGGUGGGGUAACGGCUCACCUAGGCGACGAUCCCUAGCUGGUCUGAGAGGAUGACCAGCCACACUGGAACUGAGACACGGUCCAGACUCCUACGGGAGGCAGCAGUGGGGAAUAUUGCACAAUGGGCGCAAGCCUGAUGCAGCCAUGCCGCGUGUAUGAAGAAGGCCUUCGGGUUGUAAAGUACUUUCAGCGGGGAGGAAGGCGAUAAGGUUAAUAGCCUUGUCGAUUGACGUUACCCGCAGAAGAAGCACCGGCUAACUCCGUGCCAGCAGCCGCGGUAAUACGGAGGGUGCAAGCGUUAAUCGGAAUUACUGGGCGUAAAGCGCACGCAGGCGGUCUGUCAAGUCGGAUGUGAAAUCCCCGGGCUCAACCUGGGAACUGCAUUCGAAACUGGCAGGCUAGAGUCUUGUAGAGGGGGGUAGAAUUCCAGGUGUAGCGGUGAAAUGCGUAGAGAUCUGGAGGAAUACCGGUGGCGAAGGCGGCCCCCUGGACAAAGACUGACGCUCAGGUGCGAAAGCGUGGGGAGCAAACAGGAUUAGAUACCCUGGUAGUCCACGCCGUAAACGAUGUCGAUUUGGAGGUUGUGCCCUUGAGGCGUGGCUUCCGGAGCUAACGCGUUAAAUCGACCGCCUGGGGAGUACGGCCGCAAGGUUAAAACUCAAAUGAAUUGACGGGGGCCCGCACAAGCGGUGGAGCAUGUGGUUUAAUUCGAUGCAACGCGAAGAACCUUACCUGGUCUUGACAUCCACAGAACUUAGCAGAGAUGCUUUGGUGCCUUCGGGAACUGUGAGACAGGUGCUG
rnacentral:rRNA from 2 species